UGAGCUCAACCGGGUCAAAUUGACUCUAGUAGGGAGUCCGUUUUAUACAGGUAGUGACUCCCUAAUGGAGUCAGAUUGACCUCUUUGAAGUGAACACGA
rnacentral:pre_miRNA from 1 species